CCUACGGGAGGCAGCAGUGAGGAAUAUUGGUCAAUGGACGCAAGUCUGAACCAGCCAUGCCGCGUGCAGGAAGACGGCUCUAUGAGUUGUAAACUGCUUUUGUACGAGGGUAAACGCAGAUACGCGUAUCUGUCUGAAAGUAUCGUACGAAUAAGGAUCGGCUAACUCCGUGCCAGCAGCCGCGGUAAUACGGAGGAUUCAAGCGUUAUCCGGAUUUAUUGGGUUUAAAGGGUGCGUAGGCGGUCGGAUAAGUUAGAGGUGAAAUCCCGAGGCUCAACUUCGGAAUUGCCUCUGAUACUGUUCGGCGAGAGAGUAGUUGCGGUAGGCGGAAUGUAUGGUGUAGCGGUGAAAUGCUUAGAUAUCGCGCAGAACCCCGAUUGCGAAGGCAGCGUACCGGCUCCACACUGACGCUGAGGCACGAAAGCGUGGGUAUCGAACAGGAUUAGAUACCCCUGUAGUC
rnacentral:rRNA from 1 species